rnacentral:tRNA from 1 species
GGGCGGUUGGCGCAGUGGUAGCGCACUUCCCUGAAACGGAAGGGGUCACAAGUUCGAAUCUUGUAUCGCCCA